rnacentral:lncRNA from 1 species
UUUUUUAUUACCCACCUCACAAGCACCAAGUGACAUCCCCUAAAUUUUGUGAAUCAGUUAAUUUGGGCAGGAAACUGCAAAAUAUUCAUUAAGAGACAGAUUAGUGAUUCAUUCUUGAGCAAUUUACUCAUUUGUGCUUCAACACAACACCACUAUUGACUCUUGUAGUAAACCCUAGAUUAUUUUUCAUCUUUCAUCUUCUAGACUUCUACCCUAUUUUAUUAAUUGCAAUAGCAGUCCAACUGUGAUUUCCUACACAGAUAGCAUUUAAUCUCC